GGAGCGUUAGUUUAUUAUGGUAGAACGCCUUUUAGAAGGGAGGACCCGGUUCAAUUCCGGGAUGCUAAA
rnacentral:tRNA from 1 species